CUAUAUUCCUAUGUACAAAUAGAAUUUUACUUGCACAUAUUAAUCAUUAACAACAUCAAAAAUAAACUUUGUUUAAUGGAAAGUAAGAAAAGAGGUGGGCCAGAAUAAACUUCCUGAAUUACCUCUAGAACUCUGUCACAUUUAGAAUAUUUAAUGCGAGUCAUUUUACUAUUACAUUUUUCUGUAAAAAGUAUUCUGUAAAUAAACGCGAGCAAACUAACAAGUUGUUACAUG